rnacentral:tRNA from 1 species
AGUUAAAAACUUAAAGUAAGUAUUAUGUUUUGAAAGCAUAAAUAAGAAGUUAAAAUCUUCUAUUAACUU